rnacentral:rRNA from 1 species
AUACGGAAGGUGCAAGCGUUAUCCGGAAUCACUGGGUUUAAAGGGUGCGUAGGCGGUUGCGUAAGUCAGAAGUGAAAGCUCACAGCUUAACUGUGGAAUUGCUUUUGAUACUGCGUAACUAGAAUCAGGUUGAGGUUGGCGGAAUGUGACAUGUAGAGGUGAAAUUCGUAGAUAUUCGGUGGAACACCAGUGGCGAAGGCGACUGACUGGACUAUUUCUGACGCUGAGGUGCGAAAGUGUGGGGAGCAAACAGGAUUAGAUACCCUGGUAGUCCACACCGUAAACGAUGAGAGCUAGUUGUCAGCAAGCAUGCUUGUUGGUGACGCAGCUAACGCAUUAAGCUCUCCGCCUGGGGAGUACGGUCGCAAGAUUAAACUCAAAGAAAUUGACGGGGGCCCACACAAGCGGUGGAGCAUGUGGUUUAAUUCGAAGCAACGCGCAGAACCUUACCCACCUUUGACAUCCUGU